rnacentral:rRNA from 1 species
UACGAAGGGGGCUAGCGUUGCUCGGAUUGACUGGGCGUAAAGGGUGCGUAGGCGGGUCUUUUAAGUCAGGGGUGAAAUCCUGGAGCUCAACUCCAGAACUGCCUUUGAUACUGAAGAUCUUGAGUUCGGGAGAGGUGAGUGGAACUGCGAGUGUAGAGGUGAAAUUCGUAGAUAUUCGCAAGAACACCAGUGGCGAAGGCGGCUCACUGGCCCGAUACUGACGCUGAGGCACGAAAGCGUGGGGAGCGAACGAAGGAUUGA